rnacentral:rRNA from 1 species
UGGGGAAUAUUGCACAAUGGGCGCAAGCCUGAUGCAGCCAUGCCGCGUGUGUGAAGAAGGCCUUCGGGUUGUAAAGCACUUUCAGCGGGGAGGAAGGCGUUAAGGUUAAUAACCUUGGCGAUUGACGUUACCCGCAGAAGAAGCACCGGCUAACUCCGUGCCAGCAGCCGCGGUAAUACGGAGGGUGCAAGCGUUAAUCGGAAUUACUGGGCGUAAAGCGCACGCAGGCGGUCUGUCAAGUCGGAUGUGAAAUCCCCGGGCUCAACCUGGGAACUGCAUUCGAAACUGGCAGGCUAGAGUCUUGUAGAGGGGGGUAGAAUUCCAGGUGUAGCGGUGAAAUGCGUAGAGAUCUGGAGGAAUACCGGUGGCGAAGGCGGCCCCCUGGACAAAGACUGACGCUCAGGUGCGAAAACGUGGGGAGCAAACAGG